AUUGAACGCUGGCGGCAUGCUUUACACAUGCAAGUCGAACGGUAACAGAGAGAAGCUUGCUUCUCUGCUGACGAGUGGCGAACGGGUGAGUAAUAUAUCGGAACGUGUCCAUUAGAGGGGGAUAACUAGUCGAAAGAUUAGCUAAUACCGCAUACGCCCUGAGGGGGAAAGUGGGGGAUCUUCGGACCUCACGUUAAUGGAGCGGCCGAUAUCUGAUUAGCUAGUUGGUAGGGUAAAAGCCUACCAAGGCGACGAUCAGUAGCUGGUCUGAGAGGAUGAUCAGCCACACUGGGACUGAGACACGGCCCAGACUCCUACGGGAGGCAGCAGUGGGGAAUUUUGGACAAUGGGCGCAAGCCUGAUCCAGCCAUGCCGCGUGAGUGAAGAAGGCCUUCGGGUUGUAAAGCUCUUUCGCAAGGAAAGAAAACUUACAUGUAAAUAAUAUGUGAGGUUGACGGUACC
rnacentral:rRNA from 1 species